rnacentral:rRNA from 1 species
GAUGAACGCUAGCGGCAGGCCUAACACAUGCAAGUCGAGGGAGAAGCCUUUCGGGGCAGAAACCGGCGCACGGGUGCGUAACGCGUAUGCAACCUACCUUUCACAGGGGGAUAGCCCGAAGAAAUUUGGAUUAAUACCCCAUAAUAUUGUUGGAUGGCAUCAUUGGACAAUUAAAACUGCGGUGGUGAAAGAUGGGCAUGCGUCCCAUUAGCUAGUUGGAGUGGUAACGGCACCCCAAGGCUACGAUAGGUAGGGGUCCUGAGAGGGAGAUCCCCCACACUGGUACUGAGACAGGGACCAGACUCCUACGGGAGGCAGCAGUGAGGAAUAUUGGUCAAUGGUCGGAAGACUGAACCAGCCAUGCCGCGUGCAGGAAGAAUGCCUUAUGGGUUGUAAACUGCUUUUAUAUGGGAAGAAUAAGGUGUACGUGUACAUUGAUGACGGUACCAUAUAAUAAGCU